rnacentral:rRNA from 1 species
UGGCGGCGUGCCUCAGACAUGCAAGUCGAACGCGAAAGUCUCCUUCGGGGGAUAAGUAGAGUGGCGCACGGGUGAGUAACACGUAGGUAAUCUACCUUCGGAUGGGGAAUAACAGUCGGAAACGAUUGCUAAUACCGCAUAAUGCAGCGGCACCUAAUGGUGACAGUUGUUAAAGCGGGGGAUCGAAAGACCUCGCGUCUGAAGAGGAGCCUGCGGCGGAUUAGCUAGUUGGUAAGGUAAUGGCUUACCAUGGCUACGAUCCGUAACCGGCCUGAGAGGGCGGUCGGUCACACUGACACUGACAUACGGGUCAGACUCCUACGGGAGGCAGCAGUCGGGAAUUUUGGGCAAUGGGCGAAAGCCUGACCCAGCAACGCCGCGUGAAGGAUGAAAUCCCUCGGGAUGUAAACUUCGCAAGAACGGGAAGAAUAAGCGAGAGUUAAUAUCUUUCGUGAUGACGGUACCGUUUGUAAGCUCCGGCUAACUCCGUGCCAGCAGCCGCGGUAAUACGGGGGGAGCAAGCGUUGUUCGGAUUUACUGGGCGUAAAGGGCGCGUAGGCGGCCAGCACAAGUCAGUUGUGAAAUCUCCGAGCUUAACUCGGAAAGGUCAACUGAUACUGUGCGGCUAGAGUGCAGAAGGGGCAACUGGAAUUCUUGGUGUAGCGGUGAAAUGCGUAGAUAUCAAGAGGAACACCUGCGGCGAAGGCGGGUUGCUGGGCUGACACUGACGCUGA